GAAGCAAAGAGGCUGAAGCAGCUUCACAUCCAGUUCUACCCGGAUUGGUCAGAAAAGGGAAAUUAUGGCCAAAUGCGGAAAAGGGUCAGGAAGAGCGGCCCCAGGGACGACUGAAGGAAGCAUCUUCCUCACUGCAUGAUGAGUCCAUAGGACACUUCUAACUGAGCAGUUUGAGCCCUCCUCCCCUCACUGCACAUAUUCCCCUGAUGACUCUUCCUCUUUUUUUACCUUUAAAUGUUCAUAUUGUAUAUCUCUGUGCAUCUUAAUAAAAAAUGAAAUUAUU